AGAGUUUGAUCCUGGCUCAGAGCGAACGCUGGCGGCAGGCCUAACACAUGCAAGUCGAACGGACCCUUCGGGGUUAGUGGCGGACGGGUGAGUAACACGUGGGAACGUGCCUUUAGGUUCGGAAUAGCUCCUGGAAACGGGUGGUAAUGCCGAAUGUGCCCUUCGGGGGAAAGAUUUAUCGCCUUUAGAGCGGCCCGCGUCUGAUUAGCUAGUUGGUGGGGUAAUGGCCCACCAAGGCUACGAUCAGUAGCUGGUCUGAGAGGAUGACCAGCCACAUUGGGACUGAGACACGGCCCAAACUCCUACGGGAGGCAGCAGUGGGGAAUCUUGCGCAAUGGGCGAAAGCCUGACGCAGCCAUGCCGCGUGUAUGAUGAAGGUCUUAGGAUUGUAAAAUACUUUCACCGGUGAAGAUAAUGACUGUAGCCGGAGAAGAAGCCCCGGCUAACUUCGUGCCAGCAGCCGCGGUAAUACGAAGGGGGCUAGCGUUGCUCGGAAUUACUGGGCGUAAAGGGAGCGUAGGCGGACAUUUAAGUCAGAGGUGAAAUCCCGGAGCUUAACUUCGGAACUGCCUUUGAUACUGGGUGUCUUGAGUGUGAGAGAGGUAUGUGGAACUCCGAGUGUAGAGGUGAAAUUCGUAGAUAUUCGGAAGAACACCAGUGGCGAAGGCGACAUACUGGC
rnacentral:rRNA from 1 species